CCUACGGGAGGCAGCAGUGGGGAAUAUUGCACACUGGGGGAAACCCUGAUGCAGCGACGCCGCGUGAGUGAAGCAGUAUUUCGGUAUGUAAAGCUCUAUUUGCAGGGAAGAAAAGGACGGUACCUGUUUAAGAAGCCCCGGCUAACUACGUGCCAGCAGCCGCGGUAAUACGUAGGGGGCAAGCGUUAUCCGGAUUUUCUGGGUGUAAAGGGAGCGUAGACGGCAGUACAAGUCUGGAGUGAAAUGCCGGGGCUUAACCCCGGAACUGCUUUGGAAACUGUGCAUCUAGAGUGCAGGAGAGGUAAGUGGAAUUCGUAGUGUAGCGGUGAAAUGUGUAGAUAUUAGGAAGAACACCAGUGGCGAAGGCGGCUUACUGGACUGUAACUGACGUUGAGGCUCGAAAGCGUGGGGAGCAAACAGGAUUAGAUACCCCUGUAGUC
rnacentral:rRNA from 1 species